rnacentral:rRNA from 1 species
AUUGAACGCUGGCGGCAGGCCUAACACAUGCAAGUCGAACGGUAACAGGAAACAGCUUGCUGUUUCGCUGACGAGUGGCGGACGGGUGAGUAAUGUCUGGGAAACUGCCUGAUGGAGGGGGAUAACUACUGGAAACGGUAGCUAAUACCGCAUAACGUCGCAAGACCAAAGAGGGGGACCUUCGGGCCUCUUGCCAUCGGAUGUGCCCAGAUGGGAUUAGCUAGUAGGUGGGGUAACGGCUCACCUAGGCGACGAUCCCUAGCUGGUCUGAGAGGAUGACCAGCCACACUGGAACUGAGACACGGUCCAGACUCCUACGGGAGGCAUCAGUGGGGAAUAUUGCACAAAGGGCGCAAGCCUGAUGCAGCCAUGCCGCGUGUAUGAAGAAGGCCUUCGGGUUGUAAAGUACUUUCAGCGGGGAUGAAGGGAGUAAAGUUAAUACCUUUGCUCAUUGACGUUACCCGCAGAAGAAGCACCGGCUAACUCCGUG